rnacentral:rRNA from 1 species
AUGAACGCUGGCGGCGUGCCUAAUACAUGCAAGUCGAGCGAACAGACGAGGAGCUUGCUCCUCUGACGUUAGCGGCGGACGGGUGAGUAACACGUGGAUAACCUACCUAUAAAACUGGGAUAACUUCGGGAAACCGGAGCUAAUACCGGAUAAUAUAUUGAACCGCAUGGUUCAAUAGUGAAAGACGGUUUUGCUGUCACUUAUAGAUGGAUCCGCGCCGCAUUAGCUAGUUGGUAAGGUAACGGCUUACCAAGGCAACGAUGCGUAGCCGACCUGAGAGGGUGAUCGGCCACACUGGAACUGAGACACGGUCCAGACUCCUACGGGAGGCAGCAGUAGGGAAUCUUCCGCAAUGGGCGAAAGCCUGACGGAGCAACGCCGCGUGAGUGAUGAAGGUCUUCGGAUCGUAAAACUCUGUUAUUAGGGAAGAACAAAUGUGUAAGUAACUAUGCACGUCUUGACGGUACCUAAUCAGAAAGCCACGGCUAACUACGUG